AUUUGAAGAAUACAAAAUAUUAGAGUGUACACCGGUCAAACAGUAAUGCAGGUGUUCUAAGGCAAGCUCAGGGAGGACAGAAACCUCUCAUGGGGCAGAAGGGAAAAAGCUCACUUGAUCUUGAUUUUCAGUAUGAAUACAGACCUUGAAAGCAGGGCCUCAUGAUCCUUCUGACCUUUUGGGUUUCAAGCAGGAGAUGUCAGAAAAGU
rnacentral:ncRNA from 1 species